UACCGGCAGCACGAGUGAUAGCCACUAUUAUUGGGCCUAAAGCGUCCGUAGCCGGCUACACAGGUCCGUCGGGAAAUCCACCCGCUCAACGGGUGGGCGUCCGGCGGAAACCAGGUAGCUUGGGGCCGGAAGACCAGAGGGGUACGUCUGGGGUAGGAGUGAAAUCCUGUAAUCCUGGACGGACCACCGGUUGCGAAAGCGCCUCUGGAAGACGGACCCGACGGUGAGGGACGAAAGCUAGGGUCUCGAACCGG
rnacentral:rRNA from 1 species